rnacentral:lncRNA from 1 species
GUCGGCUGGGACGACAAUGGCGGGGCUGUGGGUCAGGACAGUGGCACUAUUGGCGGCCAGGCGGCAUUGGCGGCGGUCCUCCCAGCAACUGCUGUGGACGCUGAAGCGUGCUCCAGUCUAUUCACAGCAAUGCCUAGUGGUGUCCCGAAGUCUCAGUUCUGUGGAAUAUGAGCCUAAAGAAAAAAUCGCUUGCAGGCUGGCACCAGUGCCAGGAGUGAAUACCAGCCACUAGAGCUAACAGACUUUUGAUAAAAUUCUUAUUGCUAACAGAGGAGAAAUUGCUUGUAGGGUCAUUAAGACUUGCAGGAAGAUGGGCAUCAGGACAGUUGCCAUCCACAGUGAUGUUGAUGCCAGCUCGGAUGAGAAAUAAUUCAAGCAUUUCAGAGAGAAACUAAUAUUGAAUACACGGUGCUAUAGAAGAAUCAAAGCAUUCACCUUUCCACCGUCAAAUGCUCUAGAAUCAGAGAGGGUGGACCCUCCUCUGUGUCGUGGGUGGGCUCUUUAUGCCAGGUAGACCCAUUCUGGGCCCAGCAUGCGUAGAGCCGUCUGCCAUGAAGCCAUCCAUUAGAAAUGCUAGAAAUGUACAUAUUUUGGGGAAAAGGAGCUGAUAAAUUGAAUUCCUUUAGAAAAUAAAUUGAAAUGCAGCAUAAAUCCAUAAGCAAACUGUAUUUUAUCUGUAGACAAAUUUAUAUUGGCACUGUACAGAUGAACACAGUUUUUAAAAAUUAUAAACACUGUCAAAUUUAAUAAAACUUUGUAUGGAACUGUGACCUUUAUUUAUUGACUUAAUUAAAGCAACAUUAUGGCUGCUGCUUGAAGUGCUAGUCUGUGGGUGGCUGUUAGUGAAGUCCGUUAUCCGUGCAGUCUGUGAUAGUGGUCAGCAGUGACAGGAGUCAAACUUGCAACCAACACCCUCCCUUGGGAGCUGUGGGCUCAGCAGGCAAAAUUGUCACAACCCAGCAAAGCUGCUUAACUGACUGAUGGCUUAACCCCCUGGUGUCCAGGGUAAGCCAGUCAUUCCAGUGAGGAGGGGCUGUGACUUUAUCUAGGAGUUGGGCAGAAAUUGCAUCUGGACGGAAGAAAAGUCUUGGUAUUAAUAUCUUCAUGUAUGAACUAUUAGAUUUAUUUGUAUGUUCAUGUAACUGGCCAUUUAAUGGAACAUUCCAACUGCUUUUCCUCUUACUCUGUGUGAUGGAACUUGAACCCAACGCUGUAUCAAUGCCUGCCAAAUGCUGCAUGUCCUGAACUCGCCAGAACUUUUAAAUAAACAAAGCCCAACGCAAGACUUACAACAUUUU